UACGUAGGGUGCAAGCGUUAAUCGGAAUUACUGGGCUUAAAGGGCGCGUAGGUGGUGGCAUAAGUCCGGGGUGGAAGGCUAAGGCUUAACCUUAGAAUUGCCCUGGAAACUGUAUCACUUGAGUCAGCGAGGGGAUGGCGGAAUUCCUGGUGUAGCGGUGAAAUGCGUAGAUAUCAGGAGGAAGGCCGGUGGCGAAGGCGGCCAUCUGGCGCUGAACUGACACUGAGGCGCGAAAGCGUGGGGAGCAAACAGGAUUAGAUACCCUGGUAGUCCACGCCCUAAACGGUGGGUACUAGGUGUAGGGCUCGUAAGGGUUCUGUGCCGAAGGGAAACCAUUAAGUACCCCGCCUGGGGAGUACGGUCGCAAGACUGAAACUUAAAUGAAUUGACGG
rnacentral:rRNA from 1 species